rnacentral:rRNA from 1 species
CACGUAGGGCGCGAGCGUUGUCCGGAAUUAUUGGGCGUAAAGAGCUCGUAGGCGGCCUGUUGCGUCCGCUGUGAAAGCCCGGGGCUUAACCCCGGGUCUGCAGUGGAUACGGGCAGGCUAGAGGUAGGUAGGGGAGAAUGGAAUUCCCGGUGUAGCGGUGAAAUGCGCAGAUAUCGGGAGGAACACCGGUGGCGAAGGCGGUUCUCUGGGCCAUUACUGACACUGAGAAGCGAAAGCAUGGGGAGCGAACAGG